UACGAAGGGGGCUAGCGUUGUUCGGAAUCACUGGGCGUAAAGCGCACGCAGGCGGAUCGUUAAGUCAGGGGUGAAAUGCCGAGGCUCAACCUCGGAACUGCCUUUGAUACUGAAGAUCUUGAGUUCGGGAGAGGUGAGUGGAACUGCGAGUGUAGAGGUGAAAUUCGUAGAUAUUCGCAAGAACACCAGUGGCGAAGGCGGCUCACUGGCCCGAUACUGACGCUGAGGUGCGAAAGCGUGGGGAGCAAACAGG
rnacentral:rRNA from 1 species